AAAUGCACAUUUGAGGUAUGACUUUGCGAAUUUAUGCAGUAAAACAAAUUCUGAUAGUGAUUAGCUUCAUAUGAUAAAGUACCACAGUACCACAAAUGUGCAUUUGUAA